rnacentral:snRNA from 1 species
AUACUCACUUGACUAUCACAUACACUAAAAUUGGAACAGUAGAGAGAUUAACACGACCCUGGGCAGGUAUGACAUGCAAAUCUAAGAAGCACUUCAUAUUCUU